CUGCAAUGAUGACCAUCUUAGGACACCUUUGGAGUCAUGAUGAAAAGAACUCUUAAUCUGAGCAGC